GACGUAGGGCGCGAGCGUUGUCCGGAUUUAUUGGGCGUAAAGAGCUCGUAGGCGGCUCGUUGCGUCGGCUGUGAAAACCUGCAGCUUAACUGUGGGCGUGCGGUCGAUACGGGCAUCACUGGAGUUCGGCAGGGGAGACUGGAAUUCCUGGUGUAGCGGUGAAAUGCGCAGAUAUCAGGAAGAACACCCGUGGCGAAAGCGGCUCUCUGGAACGGUACUGACGCUGAGACGCGAAAGCGUGGGGAGCGAACAGG
rnacentral:rRNA from 1 species